AACGAACGCUGGCGGCAUGCCUAACACAUGCAAGUCGAACGAGACAUUCGGGUCUAGUGGCGCACGGGUGCGUAACGCGUGCGAAUCUACCCUUGGGUUCGGAAUAACAGGUAGAAAUGACUCAUAAAACCGGAUGACGAUGAGAGUCCACAGAUUUAUCGGCAAAGGAUGAGCCCGCGUAAGAUUAGCUUGUUGGUAGGGUAAUGGCCUACCAAGGCGACGAUCUGUAGCUGGUCUGAGAGGAUGAUCAGCCACACUGGGACUGAGACACGGCCCAGACUCCUACGGGAGGCAGCAGUGGGGAAUAUUGGACAAUGGGCGAAGGCCUGAUCCAGCAAUGCCGCGUGAGUGAAGAAGGCCUUAGGGUUGUAAAGCUCUUUUACCAGGGAUGAUAAUGACAGUACCUGGAGAAUAAGCUCCGGCUAACUCCGUGCCAGCCGCCGCAGUAA
rnacentral:rRNA from 1 species